rnacentral:rRNA from 1 species
GACGAACGCUGGCGGCGUGCCUAACACAUGCAAGUGGAGCGACGAACCAGGCUUCGGCCUGGGGCAGAGCCGCGAACGGGUGAGUAACACGUGGGUAACCUGCCCUGAUGAUUGGGACAACCCGAGGAAACUCGGGCUAAUACCAAAUGUGCCCUGCGACCAUAAGGUUGAUGGGGAAAGGAAGCUUCGGCCUCCGCAUCGGGAUGGGCCCGCGGCCCAUUAGCUUGUUGGUGAGGAAUGGCUCACCAAGGCUACGAUGGGUAGCUGGUCUGAGAGGACGAUCAGCCACACUGGGACUGAGACACGGCCCAGACUCCUACGGGAGGCAGCAGUGGGGAAUCUUGCGCAAUGCGCGAAAGCGUGACGCAGCAACGCCGCGUGGGGGAAGAAGGCC